rnacentral:rRNA from 1 species
GACAGAGGUGCCAAGCGUUAGGCGGAAUCACUGGGCUUAAAGCGUGUGUAGGCGGAUCGUUAAGUACCUUGUGAAAUCCCACAGCUUAACUGUGGAACUGCUUGGUAUACUGCCAGUCUUGAGCCAGCUAGGGGCUACCGGAACAAAUGGUGGAGCGGUGAAAUGCGUAGAUAUCAUUUGGAACGCCAAUGGUGAAAACAGGUAGCUGGGGCUGUGCUGACGCUGAGACACGAAAGCCAGGGGAGCGAACGGG